GCCUGGGUGGCUCAGUCGGAUAAGCAUCUGACUUCAGCUCAGGUCAUGAUCUCUUGAUUCAUGGGUUCGAGCCCCAUAUCGGGCU
rfam:Felis catus isolate Cinnamon breed Abyssinian chromosome B2, whole genome shotgun sequence.